rnacentral:rRNA from 1 species
AUGAUGUAUCUGAACAUCCACAUUCAUUCAGUUACAGAAAAACAUCAACCAUCCAUUUCUUUGUACAGCAAUCCCUUGCGGAGAAGAAGGGCAGGGAGGCGGAGACCGCGGCCGCUGGGUCUCCCUCGUGUAGGAGCAGCGCCAGGUCGCCGGAUCACGGAAGUCGGCGUUCCGUGUGGCCAGCGCUGCCGCCGCCGCCAGCGGUGGAGAAGAAGGGCAGGGAGGCGGAGGCCGCGGCCUGGUCUCCCUCGCGUGGGAGCAGCGACAGGCCACGGGGUCGCCAACGCGGAGGUCGCUGUUGCGUGUGGCCAGCGCUAG